rnacentral:lncRNA from 1 species
UUUAUGCAUUAAGGCUAUCAGUAAUUAAAAAAAAAAAAAAUCAACCAUGCCAGAAGAAAAUUAAAGGAUUUUUUCAGCUUCCAUUUAGAAAAAUUAUAAAAUCAUUAUUGCAUGAAGAGGUGAUCAAUGAGUUUUCAGCCAAAAGAUGUUAAGGGGAAAAAAGUAUAGAGGUUUGAUAGACAAAUAACUAAUACAAAUAUUUUAUUUUUCUUGAUUUUGUAAAAUUUGUGAUAUAUAUCAGGCUCUUAAGGCUUACGUUGGAUGUGAUUUCUUCUCUCAUUUUAAGGAAAUUUGUGUGAUCGUAUAUAAGUUUGUAUUUGUAAACUGCAAAUAUAAAUCUUCCCUACUCAAGGAUUGAACCUACUUCAUUGCAGGCAGAUUCUUUACUGUUGAGCCACUGGGAAACCCUUAUUACCGUACCCAGUACACUAAGUUUCUACUUCACCUGGGUAGGCAGGCAAGGGCAAGAGGCAUUUUGAGGACUUGAGUGCCCAUCUGCAAUCUGACUCUUUUAGAACCAAGCACCCAGAUUAAGGAUAAAUAAUCCCAAAUUCCUACACAGCCUCAUUAAACCUGAUUUGACUCUUCUAGGUGUUGUAUUCCCUAGAUUUGUACUAAAAUGGCAGCCACUAGCCACGUGUGGUUCUUUAAGUUCAAUUAAAAUGAAAUAGAAUCAAAAAUCUACUGUCUUAGUUGCAGUGGCUGCACUUGAAGCACUCAGCAGCCUCACGUGACUAGUGGGGACUGUACUGGACAGUUCAGAGAUGACUGCUUCCAUCGCCCCCAUAAGUCCUACUGUUCGCUCAACUGCUUUAAGUCUUCAUUAGCAAGACACAUCUAAGUGUCCGUGGCAGACACGUGAGAAGGGAAGCCCUCUUCACAAAGGAAAACAAAGUGGGGCAGCUCAUUUACAGAGAAGGGCCAAGGGAGAGCCAGAGAGGAGAGGGAACCCAGACUAGCGAGAAGUGCAGACUUAAACAGAGGAAAGGCAUCAUUAGACACAUGCACCAGGAAAAUGACACAAAUUGCACCCAAGAAAGAGUAAGAAGUAGAAAUAUUAUUAGCUCCAGGAUCGUGGUUAUUUUCUCUUUACACACACACACACACGUUCUAGAGUGUACUUAGCAAGGAGAGUCUUUACUGGGGACUCAGUUAGACAGCUUUGUG